rnacentral:rRNA from 1 species
UACAGAGGGUGCAAGCGUUGUUCGGAAUUAUUGGGCGUAAAGAGCGUGUAGGCGGCCAGGUAGGUCUGCUGUGAAAACUCGAGGCUCAACCUCGAGACGUCGGCGGAAACCAUCUGGCUAGAGUCCGGAAGAGGAGAGUGGAAUUCCUGGUGGUAGCGGUGAAAUGCGCAGAGUAUCAGGAAGAACACCCGUGGCGAAGGCGGCUCUCUGGGACGGUACUGACGCUGAGACGCGAAAGCGUGGGGAGCGAACAGG